UACGUAGGGUGCGAGCGUUAAUCGGAAUUACUGGGCGUAAAGCGUGCGCAGGCGGUUUUGUAAGACAGACGUGAAAUCCCCGGGCUUAACCUGGGAACUGCGUUUGUGACUGCAAGGCUAGAGUAUGGCAGAGGGGGGUAGAAUUCCACGUGUAGCAGUGAAAUGCGUAGAGAUGUGGAGGAAUACCGAUGGCGAAGGCAGCCCCCUGGGUCAAUACUGACGCUCAUGCACGAAAGCGUGGGGGGAGCAAACAGGAUUAGAUACCCUGGUAGUCCACGCCCUAAACGAUGUCAACUAGGUGUUGGGGGAGGAGACUUCCUUAGUACCGCAGCUAACGCGUGAAGUUGACCGCCUGGGGAGUACGGCCGCAAGGUUGAAACU
rnacentral:rRNA from 1 species